CAGCAGCCGCGGUAAUACCGGCGGCCCGAGUGGCGGCUACUAUUAUUGGGCCUAAAGCGUCCGUAGCCGGGCUGGUAAGUCCUCCGGGAAAUCUGGUCGCUUAACGAUCCGACUUCCGGAGGAUACUGCUGGCCUAGGGACCGGGAGAGGCCGAGGGUAUUCCCGGGGGAGGGGUGAAAUCCUGUAAUCCCGGGAGGACCACCUGUGGCGAAGGCGCUCGGCUGGAACGGGUCCGACGCUGAGGCACGAAAGCCAGGGGAGCGAACCGGAUUAGAUACCCGGGUAGUCCUGGCUGUAAACCAUGGGCGCUAGGUGUGGGUGGUGGUGAGCCAUCUGUGCCGAAGCUAACGCGUUAAGCGCCCCGCCUGGGGAGUACGGUCGCAAGGCUGAAACUUAAAGGAAUUGGCGGG
rnacentral:rRNA from 1 species